GACGAACGCUGGCGGCGUGCUUAACACAUGCAAGUCGAACGGAAAGGUCCUGCUUUUGUGGUGUGCUCGAGUGGCGAACGGGUGAGUAACACGUGAGUAACCUGCCCUUGACUUUGGGAUAACUUCAGGAAACUGGGGCUAAUACCGGAUAGGAGCUCCCGCUGCAUGGUGGGGGUUGGAAAGUUUCGGCGGUUGGGGAUGGACUCGCGGCUUAUCAGCUUGUUGGUGGGGUAGUGGCUUACCAAGGCUUUGACGGGUAGCCGGCCUGAGAGGGUGACCGGCCACAUUGGGACUGAGAUACGGCCCAGACUCCUACGGGAGGCAGCAGUGGGGAAUAUUGCACAAUGGGCGGAAGCCUGAUGCAGCAACGCCGCGUGCGGGAUGACGGCCUUCGGGUUGUAAACCGCUUUCGCCUGUGACGAAGCGUGAGUGACGGUAAUGGGUAAAGAAGCACCGGCUAACUACGUG
rnacentral:rRNA from 1 species